rnacentral:rRNA from 1 species
ACGAGCAAGCUAGUGCGAUGGCAGUAAGUGCGUGGUGUAACCUACCCUCCGUGAUCGGGAUAGCUUCGGGAAACUGAAGUGUAAUACCUGGGCGACUGCAGCUGUGGAUCGCAUGGUUCUGCUGCCAAAGUGUUCGCCGCCGGUGUGAGGGGCUCACUGUGAUACUUAGCUUGCUUGGCUGUGGUGUAACGGCCCGACCAAGGCGACAGAUGUCUAGCAGUGUGUGAAGAGGCACGGAACCCUUGCUGCCAACCUGUGCACUUGAGACAACUUGGGCCAAGACCACCUACGGGGGUUGAGCUUUUGCCAGGUCCGGAGGGAGUUCCUUUCCGGGGCCAAAAUUGNGUGGCCUGCCCAAAGGCCCCUUGAACCCCGGAAGCCGGAACUGGGCC